rnacentral:rRNA from 1 species
UGGGGAAUCUUGCGCAAUGGGCGAAAGCCUGACGCAGCAACGCCGCGUGCGGGAAGAAGGCCUUAGGGUUGUAAACCGCUUUCAGUAGGAACGAAAAUGACGGUACCUGCAGAAGAAGGUGCGGCCAACUACGUGCCAGCAGCCGCGGUGACACGUAGGCACCAAGCGUUGUCCGGAUUUAUUGGGCGUAAAGAGCUCGUAGGCGGUUGAGUAAGUCGGGUGUGAAAACUCUGGGCUUAACCCAGAGCCGCCACUCGAUACUGCUCUGACUUGAGUUCGGUAGGGGAGCAGGGAAUUCCUAGUGUAGCGGUGAAAUGCGCAGAUAUUAGGAGGAACACCGGUGGCGAAGGCGCUGCUCUGGGCCGAAACUGACGCUGAGGAGCGAAAGCGUGGGUAGCAAACAG